AUUGAACGCUGGCGGCAGGCCUAACACAUGCAAGUCGAGCGAGCGGCGGACGGGUGAGUAAUGUAUGGGGAACUGCCCGAUAGAGGGGGAUAACUUCUGGAAACGAUGGAUAAUCCCGCAUACUAUCGGAUGAACCCAUAUGGGAUUAGCUAGUAGGUGGGGUAAUGGCUCACCUAGGAGACGAUCCCUAGCUGGUCUGAGAGGAUGACCAGCCACACUGGAACUGAGACACGGUCGAGACUCCUUCGAGAGUAAGAAGAGGGGAAUAUUGCACAAUUGGCGCAAGCCUGAUACAGCCAUGCCGCGUGUGUGAAGAAGGCCUUCGGGUUGUAAAGCACUAUCAGCGAGGAGGCGUUACUCGCAGAAGAAGCACCGGCUAGCUCCGUGCCAGCAGCCGCGGUAAUUC
rnacentral:rRNA from 1 species